UACGUAGGGUGCAAGCGUUGUCCGGAAUUAUUGGGCGUAAAGAGCGUGUAGGCGGCCAGGUAGGUCUGCUGUGAAAACUCGAGGCUUAACCUCGAGAUGUCGGCGGAAACCAUCUGGCUAGAGUCCGGAAGAGGAGAGUGGAAUUCCUGGUGUAGCGGUGAAAUGCGCAGAUAUCAGGAAGAACACCCGUGGCGAAGGCGGCUCUCUGGGACGGUACUGACGCUGAGACGCGAAAGCGUGGGGAGCGAACAGG
rnacentral:rRNA from 1 species